UACGUAGGGUGCAAGCGUUGUCCGGAAUUAUUGGGCGUAAAGAGCUCGUAGGCGGUUUGUCGCGUCUGCUGUGAAAACUCGGGGCUUAGCCCCGGGCCUGCAGUGGGUACGGGCAGGCUAGAGUGCGGUAGGGGAGACUGGAAUUCCUGGUGUAGCGGUGAAAUGCGCAGAUAUCAGGAGGAACACCGGUGGCGAAGGCAGCUCGCUGGGACGUAACUGACGCUGAGACGCGAAAGCGUGGGGAGCAAACAGG
rnacentral:rRNA from 1 species